GGCUGAACUGGCCAUUGCCCUUGUUACCGGUCGUCUCGAGCCAGAAGCGAACUCGGUCGGGCGAUUAGGGACUUGGGUGAACGUUUGGUAUACUCGAGUAUUAUCCUGUAGGUUGGUGGAGACUGACCAACGGCCAGGACGGGGGUGAAUGAAUGAAUGAACGAACGAACGAACGAACGAGGGUUUAUUGAUAAACGAAAAAUGCAUUUUCAAAUGAUUGGAGGAAUAAGGAGAAAUGUCAGGAGAACGAAUGAACGAAUGAACGAAUUGCUCCUUGU
rnacentral:lncRNA from 1 species